GCAAACUCAAAGGAAGUUGACGGGGGCCCGCACAAAGCGGUGGAGCAUGUGGUUAAUUCGAUGAUACGCGAGGAACCUUACCUGGGCUCAAAUGUAUGUUUGACCGUAUUCUGAAAGGGAUACUUCUUCGGACAAUAUACAAGGUGCUGCAUGGUUGUCGUCAGCUCGUGCCGUGAGGUGUCGGGUAAGUCCCAUAACGAGCGCAACCCCUAUCAUUAGUUGCCAUCAGGUCAAGCUGGGGACUCUAAUGAAACUGCCUACGCAAGUAGUGAGGAAGGUGGGGAUGACGUCAAAUCAGCACGGCCCUUACGUCCAGGGCUACACACGUGCUACAAUGGCCGGUACAAAGGGCAGCUACCUGGUGACAGGAUGCUAAUCUCAAAAGCCGGUCUCAGUUCGGAUCGGAGUCUGCAACCCGACUCCGUGAAGCUGGAAUCGCUAGUAAUCGCGCAUCAGCCAUGGCGCGGUGAAUACGUUCCCGGGCCUU
rnacentral:rRNA from 1 species